rnacentral:lncRNA from 1 species
GCAUGAAUUGAUUUUGCUUCACACUAUCUUAAUCAAGAUAGUGUGAAGCUUUUGAGAAUUUGUAGUUGUCCUCCAUUGAUGAAGCUUUUGUUGGUGAAACUUUUAUUGGUGAAGCUUUUGUGGUGAAGCUUUGUUGGGUACCAUGAAUUGAUUUUGCUUCACAAUAUCUUGAUCAAGAUAGUGUGAAGCUUUUGAGAAUUUGUAGUUGUUCUCAAUUGAUGAAGCUUUUGUUGAAUUUCCCUUUUUUUUUUGGGGGGAAACUAGAAAUUUGAAAAUGUGGGAGAGACAACAUAUACAAAUUUUGCUUAUAUACUGUUGAGCAAGAGAUUGUGAUGCAAGCCACAACUUGUAGUAGUUGAAGGUUUGGAUGAACCAUAUAAAUUGAAUUUGCUUCGAACAGUCUUGAUCAAGAGUGUGUGUAGCUUCCUACGAGUUGUAGUUGUCAUUCAUUGAUGAAGCUUUUGUUGGCACUAUAAAUUGGUUUUGCUUCACACUGUCUUAAUCAAGAGUGUGUGAAGCUUUUGAGAGUUGUGAUUGAACUCCUUUGAUGAAGCUCUUGUUGGCACCAUAAAUUGGUUUUGCUUCACAUUGUCUUAAUCAAGAGUGUGUGAAGCUUUUGAGAAUUGUGGUUGCCCUUAAUUGAUGAAGCUCUUGUUGGCACCAUAAAUUGGUUUUGCUUCACAUUAUCGUGAUCAAGAGUGUGUGAAACUUUUGAGAAUUGUGGUUGAACUCCUUUGAUGAAGCUCUUGUUGGCACCAUAAAUUUGUUUUGCUUCACACUGUCUUGAUCAAGAGUGUGUGAAGUUUUUGAGAAUUGUGGUUGAACUCCUUUGAUGAAGCUCUUAUUAGCACCAUAAAUUGGUUUUGCUUCACACUGUCUUGAUCAAGAGUGUGUGAAGCUUUUGAGAAUUGUGGUUACCCUUCA